GACGAACGCUGGCGGCGUGCCUAAUACAUGCAAGUCGAGCGCGGGAAGCAGACAGAAGCCUUCGGGCGGACGUCUGUGGAACGAGCGGCGGAUGGGUGAGUAACACGUGGGCAACCUGCCUGUAAGCUCGGGAUAACUAACGGAAACGUUAGCUAAUACCGGAUGAAGCUUCGUACCGCAUGGUACGAAGAUGAAAGGCGGCACUUGCUGUCACUUACAGAUGGGCCCGCGGCGCAUUAGCUAGUUGGUGGGGUAAAGGCUCACCAAGGCAACGAUGCGUAGCCGACCUGAGAGGGUGAUCGGCCACACUGGGACUGAGACACGGCCCAGACUCCUACGGGAGGCAGCAGUAGGGAAUAUUCCGCAAUGGACGCAAGUCUGACGGAGCGACGCCGCGUGAGUGAUGAAGGUCUUCGGAUCGUAAAACUCUGUUGUUAGGGAAGAACAAGUAUCGGAGUAAUAUGCCGGUACCUUGACGGUACCUAACCAGAAAGCCCCGGCUAACUACGUGCCAGCAGCCGCGGUAAUACGUAGGGGGCAAGCGUUGUCCGGAAUUAUUGGGCGUAAAGGGUGCGUAGGCGGCCCUUUAAGUCAGAUGUGAAAGGCCACGGCUUAACCGUGGGAUUGCAUUUGAAACUGGAGGGCUUGAGUGUCGGAGAGGGUAGUGGAAUUCCCAGUGUAGCGGUGAAAUGCGUAGAUAUUGGGAGGAACACCAGUGGCGAAGGCGACUACCUGGACGAUAACUGGCGCUGAGGCACGAAAGCUAGGGGAGCAAACAGGAUUAGAUACCCUGGUAGUCCACGCCGUAAACGAUGAGUGCUAGGUGUCGGGGAUUUAUCUUCGGUGCCGGAGUUAACACAUUAAGCACUCCGCCUGGGGAGUACGUUCGCNAGAAUGAAACUCAAAGGAAUUGACGGGGACCCGCACAGCAGCGGAGCAUGUGGUUAAUUCGAGCACGCGAAGANCUUACCAGGCUUGNCUCCUCUGACGCUCUAAAAUAGGCUUNCUUCGGGACGAGAGACAGUGG
rnacentral:rRNA from 1 species